CCUCCCGCCCACCACCUCGCUGAUCCCAACAGUCUUCUGAUGAAUGAGGUCAUUUCACCCUUUGCUGCCAGGCAGUCCUCCGAGGGCAGUGUGGCUCAGAGCCAGAGAACAUGGACUGAUGGAUACCGUAAAGCCAGUGGAUGUCUCAGAUUGCCCUGAGCCUAGCACAUGGUAAGUGCUCAGCAACUGUUGAAAGAUUUCCCUGCAGCCUGGGUGGUAAAUUAUUCCUCCAAGCGAGUUUUGUACUUGCUCCUGCCAGGCACUCCAAGGAGCUUGCUGCGGUAUGGUAUAAAGCUCAGACUCGGCCCCUGCUUGGUGUCACAGGCUCACUGAAUUGUCCUGUCUGCCAGAAACCUGAAAGGGCCUUGUUGUUUCCCUGUGAGACUGCAGUGGGCAGAAGCAGAGAGACGCUGGUCUGGUGUCCUGAAAAGCUCUCAGUGAUUUGGCUUGGUACAGAAACGUCCUGGCCGGAUUUGUGGAAGUUGAUCUGCCUGCUCUGUCUUUAUUUGUUUCGUCUUGAUUUUUCCCCUCCAAUGGGAAAAUGAGGACUUAAAUCUUUGUGUGUGUGCAGUAUUUUUCCUUGAUAAACAAGCUCAAUACAUUCGGAACCAUUUUACCUUCUAAUGGAACUCUUUCUGAAAGUGAAGACUUGGAAAAUGAUGCAGUGGACUACCUUUGCAGAUAUCUAUUGAGCCAGAUAAUGCUGGAAAAGGAUCAGAGAGGGCAGGAUCAGCGACACAAGGAUAUCUCCAGUGGUCUUUUUUGUCCGUGUUUGUGUUCACGUCCCAGGUGCCACUUUACCACCAGCCUCACCCACACUGAGCCCUGGCAUUGCUACCAAAUUCGUCUCCAGAGCAGCUCAGGUGUUCUCUGACCUUUUGCUCGAAACCUCAAUGCUCACUGUAAAUUUCUGCAGAUCUAGGAGUGCAAUAAACGAUGAGAGAAUUUAACCGGUUUUUGCUAAAAGAGAACUUAUCGGGCCCAUGGAUUUUGAAAUUCAGCAUAAAGUGAAAUUUCCCAUCACAGUAAAUGCAUACAAUUAUAAAUAAUUAAGCCAAACUCUGAGUAGUAAUUUAUGUGUUUCUUUAAAAAUGUCCCUAAUAUAUUGACAUUGACCAUGGAGUGCAAGAAUUCUUAACAAUCAAUGGGAAUUCUGCUGAGCAUGAACACCAGACCUCGACAGUUAAUGUCCCAUCAGUAUCUGAUCACCAUAAAAGUUUUAGCAGGAGUUUGGCUCUGAGGUCAGGAAGUACUGUGGGCCCAGAAAUGAGAGUAAUAAAUUCACGAUGGAAAGAACUUCACUCUUCCUACUCAUCACUAAGACAAACUCGCUAGUUAAAAAGCUGCAC
ensembl:lncRNA